GCCUGGGUGGCUCAGUUGUUUAAGUGUCUGACUUAACAUAUCAGGUCAGGAUCUCAAAAUUUUGUGAGUUCGAGCCCCACUUCAGGCU
rnacentral:tRNA from 1 species